rnacentral:rRNA from 1 species
UACUCGAGUGGCGAACGGGUGAGUAACACGUGGGUGAUCUGCCCUGCACUUCGGGAUAAGCUUGGGAAACUGGGUCUAAUACCGGAUAGGACCGCACUUUAGUGUGUGUGGUGGAAAGUUUUUUCGGUGUAGGAUGAGCUCGCGGCCUAUCAGCUUGUUGGUGGGGUAAUGGCCUACCAAGGUGGCGACGGGUAGCCGGCCUGAGAGGGUGUACGGCCACAUUGGGACUGAGAUACGGCCCAG